rnacentral:rRNA from 1 species
GAACGCGAAGAACCUUACCAACCCUUGACAUGGGCAUCGCGGGACCGGAGACGGUCCUUUCAGUUCGGCUGGAUGCCACACAGGUGCUGCAUGGCUGUCGUCAGCUCGUGUCGUGAGAUGUUCGGUUAAGUCCGGCAACGAGCGCAACCCACAUUCUCAGUUGCCAUCAUUCGGUUGGGCACUCUGGGGAAACUGCCGGUGAUAAGCCGGAGGAAGGUGUGGAUGACGUCAAGUCCUCAUGGCCCUUACGGGUUGGGCUACACACGUGCUACAAUGGUGGUGACAAUGGGUUAAUCCCCAAAAGCCAUCUCAGUUCGGAUUGGGGUCUGCAACUCGACCCCAUGAAGUCGGAAUCGCUAGUAAUCGCGUAACAGCAUGACGCGGUGAAUACGUUCCCGGGUCUUGUACACACC